rnacentral:rRNA from 1 species
GAUCCUGGCUCAGGAUGAACGCUAGCGACAGGCUUAACACAUGCAAGUCGAGGGGCAUCAUGAGGUAGCAAUACCUUGAUGGCGACCGGCGCACGGGUGAGUAACGCGUAUGCAACCUGCCCGAUACCGGGGUAUAGCCCAUGGAAACGUGGAUUAACACCCCAUAGUACUUUUAUCCUGCCUGGGAUGGGAGUUUAAAUGUUUACAAGGUAUCGGAUGGGCAGUGCGUCCUAUUACGUUAGUUUGGG